rnacentral:rRNA from 1 species
GACGAACGCUGGCGGCGUGCUUAACACAUGCAAGUCGAACGGAAAGGCCCUGCUUUUGUGGGGUGCUCGAGUGGCGAACGGGUGAGUAACACGUGAGUAACCUGCCCUUGACUUUGGGAUAACUUCAGGAAACUGGGGCUAAUACCGGAUAGGAGCUCCUGCUGCAUGGUGGGGGUUGGAAAGUUUCGGCGGUUGGGGAUGGACUCGCGGCUUAUCAGCUUGUUGGUGGGGUAGUGGCUUACCAAGGCUUUGACGGGUAUCCGGCUUGAGAGGGUGACCGGCCACAUUGGGACUGAGAUACGGCCCAGACUCCUACGGGAGGCAGCAGUGGGGAAUAUUGCACAAUGGGCGGAAGCCUGAUGCAGCAACGCCGCGUGCGGGAUGACGGCCUUCGGGUUGUAAACCGCUUUCGCCUGUGACGAAGCGUGAGUGACGGUAAUGGGUAAAGAAGCACCGGCUAACUACGUG